rnacentral:tRNA from 1 species
GCCUAAGUGGCUCAGUCGGUUGAGCAUCUGACUUCGGCUCAGGUCAUGAUCUCACAGCUCCUGAGUUCGAGCCCUGCUUCAGGCU